GUUUGAUCAAAAGGCACCUGAUCGGGUUGCAGUGUAGAUUGAUCACCAUCAGAAGUUUUUAUAUUGGACUCUUCCACACGAACAACGGUAUUAGGAGAUGAUGGUUUUUCUGAUGCAUUAGUAGUUUUCCCGUUUGUUGUACAUUUUGAACCAAAAAUCAUCAACAAAUCCUCGAGAUAAGAAUCCUUAUCCGCAUCUUUGUUGGCUUUAUUCUCUAGUGACGGGUUGAAAUCGUUUGGAAUAGGUGCUCCAGUAGGUUCUAUUUCUGCACCAUGAGUCACAGCAAUGUUCUUGGCAUCUUCGCAAGAUGAAUCUUGUGAUACAGUUGCAAUGCUCGACCCCAUGGUGCAGAAAUAGAA
rnacentral:misc_RNA from 1 species